rnacentral:rRNA from 1 species
GACAGAGGUGCCAAGCGUUAGGCGGAAUCACUGGGCUUAAAGCGUGUGUAGGCGGAUGCCUAAGUACCUUGUGAAAUCCCCCGGCUCAACCGGGGAACUGCUGGGUAUACUGGGUGUCUUGGGUCAUCUAGGGGCUGCCGGAACAAAUGGUGGAGCGGUGAAAUGCGUAGAUAUCAUUUGGAACGCCAACGGCGAAAGCAGGCAGCUGGGGAUGCACCGACGCUGAGACACGAAAGCCAGGGGAG